AGUGAACGCUGGCGCUAGGCCUAACACAUGCAAGUCGAACGGCAGCACAGUAAGAGCUUGCUCUUACGGGUGGCGAGUGGCGGGCGGGUGAGGAAUACAUCGGAAUCUACUUUUUCGUGGGGGAUAACGUAGGGAAACUUACGCUAAUACCGCAUACGACCUACGGGUGAAAGCAGGGGAUCUUCGGACCUUGCGCGAUUGAAUGAGCCGAUGUCGGAUUAGCUAGUUGGCGGGGUAAAGGCCCACCAAGGCGACGAUCCGUAGCUGGUCUGAGAGGGUGAUCAGCCACACUGGAACUGAGACACGGUCCAGACUCCUACGGGAGGCAGCAGUGGGGAAUAUUGGACAAUGGGCGCAAGCCUGAUCCAGCCAUACCGCGUGGGUGAAGAAGGCCUUCGGGUUGUAAAGCCCUUUUGUUGGGAAAGAAAAGCAGCAGGUUAAUACCCCGCUGUUCUGACGGUACCCAAAGAAUAAGCACCGGCUAACUUCGUG
rnacentral:rRNA from 1 species